rnacentral:rRNA from 1 species
UACAGAGGGCCCAAGCGUUGUUCGGAUUCACUGGGCGUAAAGGGCGCGUAGGCGGUCGGGUAAGUCUGAUGUGAAAUCUCACAGCUUAACUGUGAAACUGCAUUGGAUACUAUUCGGCUUGAGAGUUGGAGGGGGGACUGGAAUUCUUGGUGUAGCAGUGAAAUGCGUAGAUAUCAAGAGGAACACCAGUGGCGAAGGCGAGUCCCUGGACAACUUCUGACGCUGAGGCACGAAAGCUAGGGGAGCAAACAGG